UUGGAGGGCAAGUCUGGUGCCAGCAGCCGCGGUAAUUCCAGCUCCAAUAGCGUAUAUUAAAGUUGUUGCAGUUAAAAAGCUCGUAGUUGAAUUUCGGGAUCAGAGUGUCGGUCGUGCCUCGGUACGAACUGGUAUUAUUGGUUCCUACCUUCUGAAGAACCGCGAUGUCAUUAAUUUGGUGUCGUGGGGAAUCAGGACUGUUACUUUGAAAAAAUUAGAGUGUUUAAAGCAGGCUUACGCUUGAAUACAUUAGCAUGGAAUAAUGAAAUAGGACGUUUGAUUCUAUUUUGUUGGUUUCUAGGAUUGACGUAAUGAUUAAUAGGGAUAGUUGGGGGCAUUAGUAUUCAAUUGUCAGAGGUGAAAUUCUUGGAUUUAUUGAAGACCAACUACUGCGAAAGCAUUUGCCAAGGAUGUUUUCAUUAAUCAAGAACGAAAGUUAGGGGAUCGAAGACGAUCAGAUACCGUCGUAGUCUUAACCAUAAACUAUGCCGACUAGGGAUCGGAUGAUGUUAAUUUUUUAAUGACUCAUUCGGCGCCUUACGGGAAAC
rnacentral:rRNA from 1 species